rnacentral:rRNA from 1 species
ACGCUUCUCCUAAAGAAUAAGCCAUGCAUGUCUUCGAAUAAGAGGAAGCAAUUCUCUCUGAAUCUGCGAACGGCUCCGCAAACCAGUUGUAAACUAUAGCAAGCCCGCUGGGUCUCUCUCUCACGAGAGAGGUCUAGCUAUAGGGAUAACCCUGGUAAUUUUGAGGCUAAUACCACACCGUAAAACUCGGUCGACCGGCUCACGCUGGGACGCCGAGGGACGUGCGAGUGUUUUCGUUAGGUUUUACCGGGAAGGGACGCACGUCACGACCGCGAUAUCGAUGCCUUUCUUCGGAGAGGUCUCUAGCGGCUCUUGCUGUGUGCUUCUGACCUAUCAACUAGAUGGCAGCGUAAGGGACAUGCUAUGGUGACAACGGGUACAGAGGAUUAGGGUUCGAUCCUGGAGAGUGGGCCUGAGAGAUUGCUCAUACUUCUAAGGAAGGCAGCAGGCGCGCAACGUUCCCAUUGAACAUCGUUCGAGGGCGUUAGGGGACAUAUGAAUGGCUGGCUUAUAGCUGGCCAAUUCAAAUG